AUUGAACGCUGGCGGCCGGCCUAACACAUGCAAGUCGAGCGGAGCGGCGGACGGGGGAGUAAUGCCUAGGAAUCUGCCUGGUAGUGGGGGAUAAAGUCCGGAAACGGGCGCUAAUAACGCAUACUAUCAGAGGAGCCUAGGUCGGAUUAGCUAGUUGGUGGGGUAAAGGCCUACCAAGGCGACGAUCCGUAACUGGUCGUAGCGGAUGAUCGGUCACACGGGAACUUAGACAGUGUCCAGACUCCUACGUGAGGCAGCAGUGGGGAAUAUUGGACAAUGGGCGAAAGCCGUAUCCAGCCAUGCCGCGUGUGUGAAGAAGUUCUUCGGAUUGUAAAGCACGUUAAGUUGGGAGGCGUUACCAACAGAAUAAGCACCGGCUAACUUCGUGCCAGCAGCCGCGGUAAUAC
rnacentral:rRNA from 1 species